AACGUAGGUUCCGAGCGUUAUCCGGAUUUACUGGGCGUAAAGCGCGUUCAGGCGGUUUGGCAAGUCGGGCAUGAAAUCUCUCGGCUCAACCGGGAGAGGUUGUCCGAUACUGCUGGACUUGAGGGCAGUAGAGGGUGGUGGAAUUCCGGGUGUAGUGGUAAAAUGCGUAGAUAUCCGGAGGAACACCAGUGGCGAAAGCGGCCACCUGGACUGUACCUGACGCUGACACGCGAAAGCUAGGGGAGCGAAACGGGAUUGAGAAACC
rnacentral:rRNA from 1 species